GAACGCUAGCUACAGGCUUAACACAUGCAAGUCGAGGGGAAACGAUAUUGGAAGCUUGCUUCCGAUAGGCGUCGACCGGCGCACGGGUAAGUAACGCGUAUCCAACCUGCCCAUCACUUGGGGAUAACCUUGCGAAAGUAAGACUAAUACCCAAUGACGUCUCUAGAAGACAUCUGAAAGAGAUUAAAGAUUUAUCGGGUGAUGGAUGGGGAUGCGUCUGAUUAGCUUGUUGGCGGGGUAACGGCCCACCAAGGCGACGAUCAGUAGGGGUUCUGAGAGGAAGGUCCCCCACAUUGGAACUGAGACACGGUCCAAACUCCUACGGGAGGCAGCAGUGAGGAAUAUUGGUCAAUGGACGAGAGUCUGAACCAGCCAAGUAGCGUGCAGGAAGACGGCCCUAUGGGUUGUAAACUGCUUUUAUAAGGGAAUAAAGUGAGUCUCGUGAGACUUUUUGCAUGUACCUUAUGAAUAAGGACCGGCUAAUUCCGUG
rnacentral:rRNA from 1 species